GACGAACGCUGGCGGCGUGCUUAACACAUGCAAGUCGAACGGAAAGGCCCUGCUUUUGUGGGGUGCUCGAGUGGCGAACGGGUGAGUAACACGUGAGUAACCUGCCCUUGACUUUGGGAUAACUUCAGGAAACUGGGGCUAAUACCGGAUAGGAGCUCCUGCUGCAUGGUGGGGGUUGGACAGUUUCGGCGGUUGGGGAUGGACUCGCGGCUUAUCAGCUUGUUGGUGGGGUAGUGGCUUACCAAGGCUUUGACGGGUAGCCGGCCUGAGAGGGUGACCGGCCACAUUGGGAAUGAGAUACGGCCCAGACUCCUACGGGAGGCAGCAGUGGGGAAUAUUGCACAAUGGGCGGAAGCCUGAUGCAGCAACGCCGCGUGCGGGAUGACGGCCUUCGGGUUGUAAACCGCUUUCGCCUGUGACGAAGCGUGAGUGACGGUAAUGGGUAAAGAAGCACCGGCUAACUACGUG
rnacentral:rRNA from 1 species